ensembl:lncRNA
AACCCAGCAGUCUGCAUGGCCACAGAAGAAUAUGGAGAAGAACACUACUCUUGCCUUGACUACAUUGCCAAAGAAACUAAUCCCCACCCCGAUCUCCAGGAUACUCCUCUCCCAGACGCCAAACUGGAGUUCUUUGUGGAUGGUUCCUCAAACAAGGAUGGGCGAUGGGUCUGGACUACAGUCAGUGUAUGCCAUCAUCUGGAUCGAACAGGGUGUCAUUGAAGGUUACACUGCCGACCAUAUCCGUGAACUACAGACCUCUGUCGCCGAGGCUGAGAAACAAACCUGGGUGACAGCCGGCUGUGCAGCCAGCACCGACGGCAUCUUUAGACACCCGUCCGGUUGGCCAGCUGCACCAGCCUCACUUCUGCCCAGUCUUUCCCCAGUGGCAUGGUCAAGGAGGUACAAGGACCGCCUCCCCUGACGCUACCGUGCCACAGAUACCAACCCGGCAACUGGGUCUACAUCAAGAUCUACAGGAGAAAAUGGAAGGAUACACGAUGGAGUGGCCCACACCAGAAGGACAUACAUCAGGAGUCCUGCCUGGCCUCAAAGAAGGACAAAGCUGGUAAAUCAACACAAGAGAAGGGAGAGCUGGUGACCUCCUCCUCUGCUGCCUCGGUAUGAUAGCUGCAACCCUGGUCACCCUACUGUUGGGACUUCUGUAGAGUAUAGAAUCCACAGGGACUGCCAAGGGUGGGUCUGGAGAAUUGACUCUGAAAGCCAAACCGAACACUCAAAGAAACCAAAUGUAACUGCACUUACACUGCACCUCAACACUUCCACCACUCACCCACACACUCUAGCAAAACAUUUUGCGGAACACAAAGUCCAAAGGGAGAAGGAUAGACCCAGCUGGGACCUUAGUGGUAGGAUACGAUAAUGUACAAGGACAGAAGUACACCUGAAUUGCAAUAACAUCCCAGGAAUGAAGGCAGAGUAUCUGACCAUGGGUAUCCAGGGGUUUCCAACAGGCAAAUGUAUUGUAGGAGGACUGAAGUUAGCAACUAACAAGGAAUGGCUCCCACAAGGGUUUUCCUCUAAAGUAGGUCUUUGUCAGUACAACUUACACUCAUAUAUAUUUUCCAGUCCAAUCAUUAGGGAAAGUGGAGGCUCUCUCUCCUACAAAUUA